CCUAAUGAAAGCUUCAAAACGAAGCAAAGGUCACUCUUUUGCUUUCUCUGCUUCCUUCUUGCUUUCCUAAUUGCAUGCUCUAAUGGCCCACCCGUACGAUUCUGACGAAGAGAAUGACGACGCAUUCGUCUACCCUGGCUUUGAAGUAGAAGAAGAGACGGAAAGUCACUUGGAAAGCGAAGAGGAGGAGGAGGACGGAGACGACGACGACGAGGAGUACAUUCCGGUUGCAAACUCGCCUAGGGUUUUAGGUAACGGCUUUUUGAAUGCUGGUCGAGUAAGUGUUGAAGAAGAGAGAAGCAAGCGGAGAAGAAUAAAUCAGGAAGGAGAAGAGAUGCGUUCGUUAAUUGCAGAUGAGAAUGCCGAGUGUUCUCAGGGGAGAGAGUGGAAUCGAACUCAAAUUGAUGGACUUUUUUGCCCUAUUUGCAUGGAUGCUUGGACCAGUGAGGGUGACCAUCAUAUCUGCUGUCUUCCUUGUGGCCAUAUAUUCGGACUUUCUUGUAUCAGCAAAUGGUUGAAACAAAAUCGAAAUUCUGCAAAGUGCCCUCAAUGCAACAGGAAUUGCACGUUAAAGGAUGUGAGGAAGCUCUUUGCUCCAAGGAUUGCUGUGGUCGAUGAAGAAUCACAAAAGACAAUUAGAUCUCUAGAGAUGAAAUGUGCUUCUCUUGAGAAGAAGAGUGCUGAUUGGUGUAGAAAAGAAUCUGAAUGGCAAAAGAGAGAAGCUGAGUUGCAACUUAAGGUCAACCAGCUUACGGAGGUAAUGCUUAAGUGUUAAUUACUUUGACCUUUCAAUUAUAUCCAUUUUCUUGUUUCAAAGCAAUAAAACUCACAUGAUCUUCACUUAGUAUUAUCAAUAUCACUGGUCAAUAAAAGCUUUUUAGUGUUUCUAUAUUGGCUGUUAUCCAUUGUGUUUAAGUAGUAGCAGUUUAUGGUUAGGCUUCCAGUUCCAGAGCACAUUGUACUUUUAAUCUCUUGGGCCUAUUGUUGUCUGUUUAUGGAUUUUCCUCAAUUCUAUCAAGCCUUACCAAUUUGUGGUGCAAAUCUGUAUCUUUGGAAAACAUAUGCAUCUCAUUCUCAAUUUUGCAAUCAAAAUGAAUUUUGGGAAUGAAAUUAUAUGUGAAAAUUUGAACUCAUUGGAAUUUGUGGGUGGAAAAUUUGCGUUAGAUCUCUUUUUAGUUGUGCCUUUCUUUGUUACUUUCAGUUUCAAACUUUUGACUUUGUAGAGAACGACUUAUUUGGAGCAUUUAGUAGGAGAUAUGGAAAGCAGUUCAACUGUGCCGUUCUCUGCUGGAAAUAUCAACUCAAAGUUAUGCCAAGGAGGAUCUUCCAGUAUUUUUGUGUUGGAGAGAGAGUUGCAAGUGGAUGGUGCACGCUUAUUUGAUAUAGAUGCAUUUGGUCAAAUUUUGUUACUUGCUCGGAGGCUACCUAAGAUUGAUGGGUCACAUGUACUUACCAAAAUGAACUUGCUACCUCCUCAUGAAAGUGAAGAUAUUUUGCUCCCUUCUAGCAUGAAAAUCAUAAAGGAUUUGCAUAUUUCUCCUUUUAAUGGAAGUCAUGCACUUUGUGCUUCCUUAGGCAAGAAACUAUCUGUUCUUAGUAUGGAAAGCAACAGUGUCAUCCUUUCCUAUGAUUUACCGGUAAGUGUUAGAUCCAUUAUCCAUGAUGCUGUUUAUUGUGAUCUUAUGAUAUAGUGUUAAGAUUUCCCUUGCUUCUUAUUGGAUGGGAUUACAAUUUGUGCUAAAAUGUUAACUAAUUACUCGAAAAUAAUGGGUGCAGGUAAUGUGACAAUGGGUGCAUGUGUAUUGAAUAUUUCUAACAAAAAUAGAAAGGAAUUACUAAAUGUAUCUAAUAGAAAUUGAAAAUACUUAUUAACCAUUAUAGUUAAUAGGUAGCAUUUCCAUUCUGGCCUCUAUUGACCCUGGUGAUAAUUCUAAUCGAAUUACCUAAUGAAGAGUUUGCUGUGAUAAUUUUAUAAAAAUUCAUCACCAAUUUGAACUUUGCUUUUCAUAAACUCUAGGGAAUAUAUCUUGGUGAUUCUUUAUUGGGAUUGCUUUCUCUCUGUCCUGCUCAGAGAAAGUCUCAUACUUCUAGACUGAGUGAUAACAUUUGCAUCGUUUUCUUAGUGAUGCUCUUAUCGCUAAAAUAUCUAGUUAUUAGUAUUUUACAAGAGUCUUCAUUGUGUUGACAUCAUAAUUUACAGUCUCCUGCUUGGUCAUGUUGCUGGGAUCUUCAGAGUUCAUAUUACAUGUAUGCGGGACUACAGGUAUGACCCUUGAAUGAAUAUUGUUUGAUGUUUACCAUGAUAGUCUAGAUAGCUUGAACCAAACUUUUUAUUUUUGUUUUGUACCUUUCAGAAUAGCUUGCUUUUAGCAUUUGAUAUGCGUCAAACCAGGGGACCAGUAGAAUCGAGUCCAGGGUUGACAAACAAUCCAAUCCAUACAUUAUACUCUGUUCAAAAUAACUUUUCUUCUGGUGUUAGAACGCUUCUAUCUGCUUCCUCCAUUGGCAUAUGCCAGUGGAACUUUGGCGGUGCUGAAGAAAGGUGGGAUGUUAUUAGUUUGUGUAUGAGCUUGGCAUCUGUUUUUCUUAUUCAUUUGGAUCUGAAAAAGAUAUGGUUUGCUUUUCAAGUUCAUCUUGAUGUAGUUUUUUGGCCCAUAAUGAUGCCCAAAACUCUCUUUCAUGUGCAUUUUAGUAUUUAUUAGAGGCAACAGAGCAUAAUGUUUAUUUCCUUGUAUUUUUAGCUUGUUAUGUCAUUUACGAAGUGUAUAUUUCUAAUUAGAUCAUUUUCCAUUUAACUCUGGCUCUUCUGUCUGUUGAACUUCAAACACUGCAGUUCGAAGUGUUUAUUUUUAUUUUCUUUUACUAUUUAUAAAACUCAUUGCAGGAUUGAAUUUUUUCCAUGCAAUAAUUUUGAAAAGUUUUAUUUUUAAUGAGUAAUGACUAUUGAGACAGUCUGUUCUAACAUGAUUUCAAUUGAAUUUUAUGAAGGCCAUCUUUGGUUCCCCAAACAGCAAAUCAAGGAGUUUGUAUAUCCCUUGCUCAUUGUCCCAGCAGUGAUGACAUAGUUGCUACCUUUCGUCCCAAAGUUGAGAUGACCAAUGAGAUGUCUGUUUCUCAGCUAUCACCUACUCCUUGCUCAAUUAUUGGACAAAGAGUACUUGGUUCCCAUCUUCAUUUGAAGAGGGUGGGUGAUAAGUAUCAAGAGUUGGGCAUUGCAUGUGCCACUGUAAGUAAUAUUCGAUUGCCUAGAUCUGUUAUCAUAGACAGAGAGAAUGAGAAACCACUAUUUGCAGUUGGAGAUGAAGAAACAUUGGGAUUGAUCUUGCAAGAGUUGCCAACUUUUACAUUUACUCAAAAUCUUAAAUCUCACAAGCAUCAUAUUUGUGACAUUAAGUGUACAAGCACCCUAAGCCAAGGUUUACUUGGCUGUUUGAGUGAGAACAGAUUGCAACUUUUCAGUAGCAAGAUCUGAUGUGGUAAGCUUUUCUUUUGCAGAUGCUAUGCCAUUGUUUUUUGUGUAUUAUCCUAUUUGCUCUUUCUUAGUCAUAAAUGUCUAAUCUUGAAAUAUAUACACUUGGUAGUCUUCACCAGUAUCACCAGAAAUCACUAAAGCCAUAGCGUCCUGCUAUCAGGAUCACACAAUUGGGUUCUUAGAUUAUUAACUUUUCUUUCUGUUUGUAAAAUAUUAUUAGGAGUAGGCAUCUAGGCGUGCCUUAAUUAAAAGGAGUAUGUGUGCAAAUUGUCUAAUCUAGGCAUGUCUUAGGUGUCAAACUUUUGAGUGGCCCCUUUUUAGAAUUGCCUCCAUUGUCUUGACCAAGCCCCUUUGCAUUUGUCAAGAAACAAUUAAUGAAGAUGUGAGACUUCAGGUUGUUUUUUGGAUGAUUGUUGAUUGCAAGUCUAUUAUUGCUAUAACUUUUCUGUUGAUGAUUUCAAAA
rnacentral:misc_RNA from 1 species